rnacentral:lncRNA from 1 species
AUAUUUUUAGUAAGCGAAGUUGCGCUAAAUUUUUAAAGAAAGUGGCUGUUGGUUGCAAUCAUAGAAUUUGAAUGACAAAGAAGGGCUCUUAAUUUUUUUCCUUAAUUACAGGUGAAACUGAUCUGCACAAGGCCUGCAAGAAUAAGAAGGGCUCGAUUUUUUAUAACCGCCCAUUGGAAAAUCUACUUGGCUGUUCCGUCCGUAAAUAUCAUGGUGUGCGAUAACAAUGGGUGGAUUCCGUUGCAUGAGGCAGCCUAUUCAGGCAACGUUGAAGGCUGCCGCAUUCUGUAUGAUCACGCAUCUACUUUUGAUCAAAAAUUCCGUCUACUUUCAUGCAGGAGUAAUGAAGGCUCAACACCUCUACUGGAAGCUAUCAGUAAAGACCACAUUGAAGUGGCUGAGUUUCUUCUUAGUGUUGGAGGAUCAUUCCUGCUGCAGCAAAUUGAUAACACAGGAAGGACAGCAUUCGAUGCUUGCAAGUCAGAAGGCAUGCGAGAAGUACUGAAGAGGUACGAGAAUACACCAGUGAGUAAAUACCUAAGUGUGCCAAACCAUAUUUGGGUUAUACUGUUUGCUCUAAUUUCCUCCUACUUUGAAACGUACGGCACUGAGGUCUGUUUCAAAUACCAAAACCUCACCUUGUCGCCUGCCGAUUUCAGCAAUGUUAGUUUCCCCAAUAAGAAGGGCCAUCUCUCAUUCAUACUCAAUUCUAGUCUUUAUUCAAAAGAUCUCUGUUUGAUAGGCCAGCUGCAAAGCAUAAUUGAAAUGCUGAAGGGAAAUAAUCCUGCAAUCAAGGAAUUGAAAUUGUUGGAAAUAUACUUUCGUGAGGAAUUAUUCAUUUACAUCUCGUGAAAAUUUUAGUGGAAACUCCUCUAGUUUAGUUGUACAUAUUUCCUAUUUCAAUUGGUGCAUAUCUGUGUCUUCUAACAAGCAAUUUAUUUCUGAACUUUAUUUCCAUGCUUAUACAGAGGUUCCUCCGUACCUCGCCACUAAGCAGCUUUACUUUUGAUUUAUGUCGGUUUUUUAUGAUAAGGACAAUGAAGACUGUUGUGUAUUUUACUGUUUGUUAAUUGCUAGAAAUUAAUUUUGUGAAAUUCUAAUGUGUACUAUCCUGUGAAAUCGAUUUGCGUUUCAUACCUCCCAUCGAUGAGAAAUCAAGAAAACAGAGACUGCAAUGUGGCCUUUUGUUCUUUAUGCUUUGUUUUUGUCGUGUUAAAGUAUGUACCCCUCAAAAGACAGUGUUGCCUUACCGGUGAUCUUUAUAGCUUUUAUUUCCAGGUCUAGAGGAAAAUUUUCAACACCUUUAACUAUCUGAAAUCAAUUUUCAGUAAAUGUUCCGGUGAUUACUCUUUUCAACAUCUCAUUUAUUUUGUUGACUUCUACAUUAGCUUUGAAAUUUGUACAUAUGUAUGUAUAAUCUGCUCACUUCAAUGAGUCUUCCCCCUCCCCCUUGAAGUUUCUUUCGUUUUCAAGAUUUAUAUUUAUUUUUUUAAUUGAUGUUACCGCGCUUCAAAAUAUUCUUUUGAAGCCCUCUGUUUUUACUUUUAUUUUAUUUUUGUUCAGAUAAUAAUUUAAGUAAAUGCAGCAAGUUUUGCACUUAUCUAAUCACUCACCCCUUGGCUAAUAUGUGGGAGAAGGGGGGGGGGGGGUUGUAACUUAAUUCAGAGCUCUUUAUUCAGCUGUCAACUUCUAUUUUGUACAGAUUAAUUUUGCCAUGAGUGCCAACAAUGUAUUUCACAUUCCGGGAAUACCUUACAAACAAAAUCUGCAUAUUUCGUGAAUCUUAUUUUUGGAAAUCAUCGGUAAAAAUAGGAGCACAUUUGAAAUGGUAGGCAGAAUUUCCAAGAGGAAGAAGGGGUCCAUACUUUUCCAAACUCGCUAUAUCUUCAUUUCUGAAGUUAGUGAGACGGCCAUGUUUGGCUCAAUUGGAACUGUAUUCGAUUUCUCUUUUUCUUUUUUGAACCCCUAAUUGUCAAUGUAUCUUAGUUUGUUGAAAAUAAUUUCCAUUGUAAGAGCUGUUGGGUUGUUUUUUUUUUCAGUAUUUAUUUUACUCAUUUACUAACUCAUAUACUCAGGUAUUUUUAUUUAUAAAUAGUUCAUUGCAUCAUAGCUGGUAAAAGGGUUACCAUUUUUUCGGCAACAAGUUUUGUAUGUAGUUAGGGAGAGAUUUUUAAGCCAACAAGGUACUGAUACUUACAAAAGCUACAAACAAUGGACUUCAUUUGAGUGCACGUGCCUUAAAGCAUUAAAAAGUAACAUUGUGUUCAAUUUCUGUGAUUAGAUUUCUGAAAAGAAGUUUCAUGAUCAGAGUACAAUUUAUCCUUCUUUAGCCUUUCUCUCAAGUGCUCUUGUUAAGUAUCAUUUUGAUUCUCUCGCAAAAUUUAACAUAUCUUUCUGCUCAGGGAGCGCCUCUCUUCUUCUCACCCAUACCUAAUAUUUUUGUCGAACAAAAUAGCAUUCCAGGAAAUGAGCCAGUUGUAACAUUACUAAAUUUUAUAAUCAUUAGUUGCAUUAACUAUUUUCUAGUCCUUGGAAAUUUGAGUAAUUUUUACUGUGCUUAUGAAUGAGAUGGAACAAAAAUAACUCAUUUAAAUAUAAGUAAAUAAAAUACUCAUUAUUCUAAGUUAUUUGAGGUCAUGUUACCAAAUUAGUACGUAUCAUUCUUAUCCGAUCCCCCCUCUCCCCCUAAACGCGUGGCUGAAAGAAUAAAAGAAAAAAAGGUUGAAAAUACAAGGAUGAAUAAAAGAUGUAUAUUGAAGAGACAGAGUUCAUGCUGUAAGGUGGGAACAUAGUCUAAGAAAAGAGUAUAUCCAUGGAAAUGGGUAACCUCCCUCCUAUCCCCCAGUCCUACAUUUUACCUGAGAGUAGCAUUAAGUACAUAGUUUUUUUUACUAUAUGAUGAGUGUCUUGAACUCUUAGCUUUGGUCUCAUGAGAACCAACUGUUCGUAGUCGUUAAAAUAUAGUUUGGCUAAGAAUAAACUUUAAAUUUUAGAAGCUUGUUUUUUGUUCAUUUUUUGUUGUGUUCUAGUGUCACUUAAUUUGCUUUCAGUUUGUUCUUGGUUCACGUUGCAAAUCUAAAUUCCCUUUGAAUUUGGGACCUUAGUGGCAGUGGGGAAGCUUUUUUGUUACUUGGAGCAAAAUUUUGUGAAAAUGUCAUUAUUUUUUCCACACAAAAACAUCAAUUGUCUUAGUAACUCUAGCCUUAGACCUUUUUUCAUCUGCAGGUUUGUUCUCGCUAGCCUAAGUGAAACAUCUUGUAGAUUGAUGAUGAAUAUGCAGAGUGAGCCAAGGUAUAGGACUUUGCUCUAAAUAGGUAGUUCAAUGUGAUAUUCGAGGGGAGAAAGAAUGAAUUCCUGUAAAAAACUGGUGUUAUUCUCGGUAUGUUAAACAUUUUAGUCUUAGUUUCUAGUGCUGCACAUCUAGCCAGAAAUAAAUAAUCCCUAAAAUAUCAACCGAUGACACUGUACCUCCAUAAAUAUAGAGAGAUCAACAAAAAACGUCAUUUUCAACGGAGGACUUCAAAAUAAGUAUUAGUAUUUAUCAAUGGUAAAUAAUUGAACUUUGCAAGCUGUAUUGCCAAAACGAGUCUUGAGUUCAACCUAAAACUUUCACUGAAGGAUUUCUCAUCACAAGGUUUCAUGAAUAAGCCACCUAUGGACAAAAUCCCUGAGCUCCUCCAAAAAAGGGCACAAUCAGGCCCUAUUUUUACAGGCUCUCUGUAUAAUCCAACUUUAAAAGUUUCUGGAAAAAAAUAUGGUUUUGAAGGCCAAUUUGACCUGUUUCCUUUUUUGGUCAUUCCAAAAAUUGGAAGUCCGAAAUGAUCAAUGUUAAUCUGAACGGCUAUGUAAUUAUAAUCUCUCUCCACAAGUUGAUUCUCAAAAUGCUAAAUUUAAAAAAAAAAAUGAAGGUCAAAAUUUGCUCUGAAUUUAGCAUGAGGAAUUGAAUGCUAUUGGUCUAGAGUCUUUCUGAGGCUCCCUUGACUGGUUCUGACCAUUCCGAUUCAUUUGGAUAUUUUUGCACCAUUGCAAUGAACCUUAGCUGCUAAGUUUUAGAUUCAGAAAACUGGUCUAUUGUGUGAUUUUACAGAAGAUCACCAAGUUUUAAGCUAAUUAUUGCAUCCCCAUACUCAAGGGGCUUGGAGGACAAGGCGCAUGAUUGCAGUUUUUAGUGUAUUUUCCGAAGAAAAUUCACUAUUUUGAAAAAUUGAGAUAUCCAUGAACUUAACUGAAACUGGUUUGAAAGUAUAUUCUGUGAAAAAUUCACAGGUAAAAUCCAACUUUUAAGCAUCAGAAAGUGAGUGUAAACUUCCUUCUGCCUUAAGGCUCCAUGUUAUUUUGAAACUGUAAACACAUAUUUCUUAAAAUAGGAAAAACUGCACUUAGGUAUCAUGCGCCUUGUCCUCCAAGCCCCUCUUUUGACCUCUAUCCCUAGAACUGAUAAUUUUACCCUUGUUGAAACAUUUUCGAUUUAUUGGCCCAGUUCAAUAACCUUUUAUGUUGUAAAAUGCACCAAUGGUGAAACUGUAGAAUCUCUACCCCCGUUUUAUUUCAUCGAAGGAGAACAAAUCAACGAUAUUACUUGAAGUUUUCAUACAUUUAUUCCUCACACAGAGGAGAAAAAAAUCUGAAAAGUUUUCCAGAAAUGACGUCGAGUAUUUUUCCACUCAAAAAAUAAAGAAUGACAUGAGGCUUGCAACAUCAUCAUAGGAGAUAUGAGUUCUCAGUUUUAUACUCAGAGACUCAAAAUAAAAUUUCAUUCUUCUGAAAAUGGAAUUCAUUUUCCAAGAAAGUUCAAUAGUUUUCAGCGGUUACUUAUGUAAACUGCAAUAAUUAGCGGAGAAUUCGAUACUGAACUUAGAAAUGUGUCUCAUUAUUCUUCUUCCAAAAAAUAUCAUAAUUAAGAUUUUACCAAUUUUUUGCACUUUAUGGCAUACUCUGAUAGUCCAUAAUCGGAAUAUUCACUAAUGUCAUAAAAUACCAAGAAAUUUCAUUUUCUAAAGUUCCAUGAAAUUUUGCACCUCUGAGUUUCACCGUCUUUUCUUUGUUUACGCCAGUGACAAAAUUUCAUGAAUUUUUUUUAACUUUUUGACAGUCUCGGAGCGCAUGAAACGUCUAAAAAUGUGAAAAUGCAAUUUUGAAAUUUUGAAAAAAAAAAAAAAAA